GAUGAACGCUGGCGGCGUGCCUAAUACAUGCAAGUCGAGCGAACGGACGGGACGUUUGUUUUAUGGUUGUUAGGGGCGGAUGGGUGGAAAACACGUGUAAACCCUACUUUUCGGUCUGGUAUAAUUAGGGAAAACGGGCUCUAAUCCGGGAUAACAUUUUGAUCCGCAUGGUCCAAAGGAAAAAUACGUCCUUGCUGUCCCUAAUCGAGGGUUCCCGGCUGGAUUGGGUAGUUGGUAAGGUAACGGCUUUCCAAGGCAACGAUGCAUAGCCGACCUGACAGGGUGAUCGGCGACACUGGAACGUAGACACGGUCCAUACUCCUACGGGAGGCAGCAGAAUGGAAUCUUCGGCAAUGGUCGAAAGCCUGACGCAGCAACGCCACGUGAGUGAUGAAGGUCUUCGGAUCGUAAAGCUCUGUUAUUAGGGAAGAACAGAUUUAUAAGUAAACGUGCACAGCUUGACGGUACCUAAUCAGAAAGCCACGGCUAACUACGUG
rnacentral:rRNA from 1 species